rnacentral:SRP_RNA from 2 species
GCUGGGUGUGGUGGCGCACGCCUGUAGUCCCAGCUACUAGGGAGGCUGAGGCAGGAGAAUCACUUGUACCCAGGAGGCAGAGGUAGCAAUGAGCCGAGAUUGCGCUACUGCACUCCAGCCUGGGCAACAGAGUGAGAUUUUGUCUCAA